AAAUAGAUACCCCGGGUAGUCCACGCCGUAAACGAUGAGUGCUAAGUGUUAGAGGGUUUCCGCCCUUUAGGUGCUGCAGCUAACGCAUUAAGCACUCCGCCUGGGGAGUACAGCCGCAAGGCUGAAACUCAAAGGAAUUGACGGGGGCCCGCACAAGCGGUGGAGCAUGUGGUUUAAUUCGAAGCAACGCGAAGAACCUUACCAGGUCCUGACAUCCUCUGACAACCCUAGAGAUAGGGCUUUCCCCUUCGGGGGACAGAGUGACAGGUGGUGCAUGGUUGUCGUCAGCUCGUGUCGUGAGAUGUUGGGUUAAGUCCCGCAACGAGCGCAACCCUUGAUCUUAGUUGCCAGCAUUCAGUUGGGCACUCUAAGGUGACUGCCGGUGACAAACCGGAGGAAGGUGGGGAUGACGUCAAAUCAUCAUGCCCCUUAUGACCUGGGCUACACACGUGCUACAAUGGAUGGUACAAAGGGCUGCAAACCUGCGAAGGUAAGCGAAUCCCAUAAAGCCAUUCUCAGUUCGGAUUGC
rnacentral:rRNA from 1 species